rnacentral:lncRNA from 1 species
CUAUAAAUCAGCCAAUCCUGGAUCAGCUAGUACUUCCAUUGGGGAACUUAGCUUGGCAUUAGGAUUGAAUGCUUGAAUUAAUUUUGAAAGUUGUGGGGUUGGUGCAUCAACAGAGAGAGCUACCUUAGUAGUUCCUACAACUAGUGUAAUGUAAUCCUAGUCCAGUUGAGCAUAGGAGUAUAGUAAAGUUUAGGAAGAUGGCUCCUCCAGCUUUUGAGAACCCCCAUG